rnacentral:rRNA from 1 species
UACGUAGGGAGCGAGCGUUGUCCGGAUUUACUGGGUGUAAAGGGUGCGUAGGCGGAAAGGCAAGUCAGUAGUGAAAUCUAUGGGCUUAACCCAUAAACUGCUAUUGAAACUGUUUUUCUUGAGUGAAGUAGAGGUAGGCGGAAUUCCCGGUGUAGCGGUGAAAUGCGUAGAGAUCGGGAGGAACACCAGUGGCGAAGGCGGCCUACUGGGCUUUAACUGACGCUGAGGCACGAAAGUGUGGGUAGCAAACAGG